UGUGUAGGCGGCUGGGCCAGUGUGGGGUGAAAGCCCUCAGCUUAACUGAGGAAUCGCCCUGCAUACUGUCCGGCUUGAGGACCACAGGGGAGAGCGGAACGUUGCAAGUAGGGGUGAAAUCCGUAGAUAUGCGACGGAAGACCGGUGGCGAAGGCGGCUCUCUGGGUGGUUUCUGACGCUGAGACACGAAAGCGUGGGGAGCGAACAGGAUUAGAUACCCUGGUAGUCC
rnacentral:rRNA from 1 species